GGGUUGUGAGGUUAAGCGACUAAGCGUACACGGUGGAUGCCCUGGCAGUCAGAGGCGAUGAAGGGCGUACUAAUCUGCGAUAAGCGCCGGUAAGGUGAUAUGAACCGUUAUAACCGGCGAUACCCGAAUGGGGAAACCCAGUGUGACUCGUCACACUAUCAUUAACUGAAUCCAUAGGUUAAUGAGGCGAACCGGGGGAACUGAAACAUCUAAGUACCCCGAGGAAAAGAAAUCAACCGAGAUUCCCCCAGUAGCGGCGAGCGAACGGGGAGGAGCCCAGAGCCUGAAUCAGCAUGUGUGUUAGUGGAAGCGUCUGGAAAGGCGCGCGAUACAGGGUGACAGCCCCGUACACAAAAGCGCAUGUGCUGUGAGCUCGAUGAGUAGGGCGGGACACGUGGUAUCCUGUCUGAAUAUGGGGGGACCAUCCUCCAAGGCUAAAUACUCCUGACUGACCGAUAGUGAACCAGUACCGUGAGGGAAAGGCGAAAAGAACCCCGGCGAGGGGAGUGAAAAAGAACCUGAAACCGUGU
rnacentral:rRNA from 1 species